UCUGCAUCUGAGGACUCCCACAUGGGGAAC
rnacentral:piRNA from 2 species